UACGAAGGGUGCUAGCGUUGCUCGGAAUUACUGGGCGUAAAGGGCGCGUAGGCGGAUCGUUAAGUCAGAGGUGAAAGCCCCGGGCUCAACCUGGGAACCGCGCUUGAGACUGGCAUGCUCGAGUUCGGGAGAGGAUGGUGGAAUUCCCAGUGUAGAGGUGAAAUUCGUAGAUAUUGGGAAGAACACCGAUGGCGAAGGCAGCCAUCUGGACCGACACUGACGCUGAGGCGCGAAAGCGUGGGGAGCAAACAGG
rnacentral:rRNA from 1 species